GUUAAGUCCCGUAACGAGCGCAACCCUUGUCCUUAGUUACCAGCACGUUAUGGUGGGCACUCUAAGGAGACUGCCGGUGACAAACCGGAGGAAGGGGGGGAUGACGUCAAGUCAUCAUGGCCCUUACGGCCUGGGCUACACACGUGCUACAAUGGUCGGUACAGAGGGUUGCCAAGCCGCGAGGUGGAGCUAAUCUCACAAAACCGAUCGUAGUCCGGAUCGCAGUCUGC
rnacentral:rRNA from 1 species